rnacentral:rRNA from 1 species
GACCCGAAAGAUGGUGAACUGUGCCCGGGCAGGACGAGGCCAGAGGAAACUCUGGUGGAGGUCCGUAGCGGUUCUGACGUGCAAAUCGAUCGUCAGAUCCGGGCCUAGGGGCGAAAGACUAAUCGAACCAUCUAGUAGCUGG